UAGUAAAUAAUAAAAUAUGGAGACAAUGUUGUCUGAGAUCAACGUUACUGUUGUUUUUUUUUGGCACAUAAAUGUCCAUUUCCGCACAGGCGCAGUGGUAAUGGUAUGCAAAUUUGUUGUGUCUAAACACGACCUCACGUGACCUUUGUGUGAUGAAAACUGUAAACAAAAGGAGACUAGCUUAAGAUAGUAAGAAGGAAAAGUAGGGGGAUUUUUUUAAAAAUCAAUGGACUGACUACUGUUUGCUUAAAAUCCAAUGGCAAAUGUUUCCUGUAUACAGAGGACAUUAGUCCUUAUAUUAAAUGGAUUAACAGUUUGCCAGUAGCUGAACUACUCUGAAAAGAACUAAAUACUUUACAAAUCUUGUGUGACUGAGGCACUUUCCUGGAUUGACCUGUCAACAGGAAUACCCAGUGCAAACAAACCCUUUGACAGCCAAUACGUUGCAAGGAUGUAUUAUUAGUACCUGAUCAUACAAAGAGCAUAAGACCAAAAGGGACCUACAAGAAAUAGCAAAUUAAUCUAAGUUACAUGUACCUACAUGUACGAUAUCAAAUUGGGUUAUGGAUGUCUCAGCUGUUAAACCCUACCACUAAAGGAUUGAAGUGCACACACCAAGUACAAAGACAACCAACAUUGGCACAGUCACUGAAAGCAAGCUCAAAGUACUUAAUCUUUUGAUAGAAAACAUGCAGUCCAGUAUUAAAAUGUGCAAUCUAACCAGGAACAUAUAUAGAUAUACUGUCCCCAGGUCUAACAUUUGAAAUUGGUUGCUCAUUUUGAAAUAAAUGAAGAACAUUGUCAAUGCAAAAUAUACCUGGAGUCGGUUUCACAAAAAAAAAAAACAUACGACUAAGAUUGAUAGUAGGUAUUCUGAAUUGUUCAUGACUUACAAUCAAUCUUAGUCAUAAGUUUUUUUUUUUUGUGAAACGGACUCCUGUGACCAAUAAACAAUCAUUGACAAUAUGUACCUCCCAGAAAAUAACAAAGACAAAUGUUUUCCAAUAUCGUUUGAUAUGAUAAAAAUCACUGCAAGAAUUGUUACUUAGUUAA